CCUACGGGAGGCAGCAGUGGGGGAUAUUGCACAAUGGGGGAAACCCUGAUGCAGCGACGCCGCGUGGGGGAAGACGGUCCUCUGGAUUGUAAACCACUGUCCCCAGGGACGAAGAUGACGGGACCUGGGGAGGAAGCGCCGGCGAACUACGUGCAAGCAGCCGCGGUAAUAAGGAGGGAGCGAGCGUGGUCAGGAAGUACUGGGUGGAAAGGGAGCGGAGGCGGGACGUCAAGUUGGGUGGCAAAUCGACCGGCGCAACCGGUAGCCGCACUCAAAACUGCAGUUCUUGCGUGAAGUAGAGGCAGGCGCACUUCCUCGUGUCGCGGUGCAUGCGUCGAUAUUAGGCG
rnacentral:rRNA from 1 species